UCUGGUAUUGAUUGGUGCUUGCAUCAUGAUUUACAUUUGAGUGAGUGGCGAACUGGUGAGUAACACGUGGGAAACCUGCCCAGAAGCGGGGGAUAACACCUGGAAACAGAUGCUAAUACCGCAUAACAACUUGGACCGCAUGGUCCGAGNUUGAAAGAUGGCUUCGGCUAUCACUUUUGGAUGGUCCCGCGGCGUAUUAGCUAGAUGGUGGGGUAACGGCUCACCAUGGCAAUGAUACGUAGCCGACCUGAGAGGGUAAUCGGCCACAUUGGGACUGAGACACGGCCCAAACUCCUACGGGAGGCAGCAGUAGGGAAUCUUCCACAAUGGACGAAAGUCUGAUGGAGCAACGCCGCGUGAGUGAAGAAGGGUUUCGGCUCGUAAAACUCUGUUGUUAAAGAAGAACAUAUCUGAGAGUAACUGUUCAGGUAUUGACGGUAUUUAACCAGAAAGCCACGGCUAACUACGUGCCAGCAGCCGCGGUAAUACGUAGGUGGCAAGCGUUGUCCGGAUUUAUUGGGCGUAAAGCGAGCGCAGGCGGUUUUUUAAGUCUGAUGUGAAAGCCUUCGGCUCA
rnacentral:rRNA from 2 species